UCCUAAGUACGUGCCACAAUGCGCGUUGAUACGUAGGGGGCAAGCGUGAUCCGGAUUUACGGGGGGUAAAGGGAGCGUAGACGGACUGGCAAGUCUGAUGUGAAAGGCGGGGUCUCAACCCCUGUACUGCAUUGGAAACUGUGAGUCUUGAGUGCCGGAGAGUUAAGCGGAAUUCCUAGUGUAGCGGUGAAAUGCGUAGAUAUUAGGAGGAACACCAGUGGCGAAGGCGGCUUACUGGACGGUAACUGACGUUGAGGCUCGAAAGCGUGGGGAGCAAUCAGGAUUAGAUACCCCUGUAGUC
rnacentral:rRNA from 1 species